UACAGAAAUACCUUUGAUUUAUGGGUGUUGAUUUUGUAUCCUGCUCUUUCACUGAAUUCAUUUAUUAGUUCUAGAAUUUUUCUGGUGGAAUUUUUUGGGUCUUCUAGGUAUAGAAUCACAUCGUUGGCAAACAGUGCUAAUUUGAGUUCUUCUUUUUCUUCUGUAUCCUUUUAAUUUCUUUCGUAUGUCUAAUUGCUGUGGCCAUUGUUUCAAGAACUGUGUUAAAUAGAAGUGGUGAAAGAGGGCAUCCCUGUCUUGUUCCAGUUUUUAGAGGGAAUGCUUUCAAUUUUCUCCAUUUAGAAUGAUGUUCAUCUGGGGCUUAGCAUAGAUAGCUUUUAUAAUGUUGAGAUAUGUCCAGGUUAUCCCUAGUUUUUCUAGUGUUUUGAACAUGAAGGGGUGCUGUAUUUUAUGGAAUGCUUUUCCUGCAUCUAUUGAGAUGAUCAUAUCAUUCUUAUCUUUAAAUCUAUUGAUGUGAUGAAUUACAUCUAUUGAUUUCUGUAAGUUGAACCAAUCUUGCAUCCUUGGGAUGAACCUCACUUGAUCAUGGUGCACUCUCUUUUUGAUGUUUUUGUACUUGAUUUGCCAGAAUUGAAUGGAGAAUUUUUGCAUCUAUGUUCAUUAGAGAUAGUGGUCUGAAGUGUUCUUUCUUUGAUAUGUCUUUGUCUGGUUUUGGAAUCAGGGUGAUAUUUGCCUCACAAAAUGAGUUUGGAAGUGCUCUCUCUUUUUCGAUUUCCUGAAAUAAAUUGCAGAGUAUUGGUAUUAGUUUUUCUUUGAAGGUCUUGUAGAACUUAGCUGUGUAUACAUUCAGUCCUGGUCUUUUCUUGAUUGGUAGGCUUCUGAUGGCAUCUCCUAUUUCAUCACUUGAAAUUGAUCUGUUUAAAUUGUGUAUAUCAUCCUGAUUCGAUUUGGGGAAAUCAUAUGAUUCUACAAAUUUGUUAAUGCCUUUGAUAUUUUCCAAUUUAUUGGAGUACAAGUUUUCAAAAUAAUUUCUAAUCAUCUUCUGUAUUUCUAUAGUGUCUACUGGAUAUUUCCUUUUUCAUCAUAUAUGUUAGCAAUUUAAGUUUUCUCUCUCCUUCUCUUCAUUAGCACGGCUAAGGGUUUUCUACUUUUUUAAAAUUUUUUUCAAAGAAUCAACUUUUUGUUUUGUCAAUUUUUCAACUGUUUCUUUUGUUUUAAUUUCAUUGAUUUCA
rnacentral:lncRNA from 1 species